rnacentral:rRNA from 1 species
AGAGUUUGAUCCUGGCUCAGGACGAACGCUAGCGGCGUGCCUAAGCUAUGCAAGUCGAGCGGGGUUUCAGAGUCGAGUUUCCUUCGGGAGACAAAGCACUGGAACCUAGCGGCAAACGGGUGAGUAACGCGUGAGCAACCUACCCCAUUGUCUGGGAUAACAGGCCGAAAGGCCUGCUAAUACCGGAUACGAAGCUCCUUCGCAUGUUGGAGCUUGGAAAGGGGCAACCCGCAACGGGAGGGGCUCGCGGCCUAUCAGCUAGUUGGUGAGGUAACGGCUCACCAAGGCGACGACGGGUAGCCGACCUGAGAGGGUGACCGGCCACACUGGGACUGAGAUACGGCCCAGACUCCUACGGGAGGCAGCAAGCGGGAAUAUUGCACAAUGGGCGCAAGCCUGAUGCAGCGACGCCGCGUGAGGGAUGAAGGCCUUCGGGUCGUAAACCUCUGUUGAUGGGGACGAAGAUCUGACGGUACCCAUCGAGGAAGCCCCGGCUAACUCCGUGCCAGCAGCCGCGGUAAUACGGAGGGGGCAAGCGUUGUCCGGAUUUACUGGGCGUAAAGAGCGCGUAGGCGGUCCGUUAAGUCGGCUGUGAAAUCGCUGGGCUUAACCCAGCAAUGUCAGUCGAUACUGGCGGACUAGAGUCCGGGAGAGGGAAGUGGAAUUGCUGGUGUAGCGGUGGAAUGCGUAGAUAUCAGCAAGAACACCAGUGGCGAAGGCGGCUUCCUGGACCGGUACUGACGCUGAGGCGCGAAAGCUAGGGGAGCAAACGGGAUUAGAUACCCCGGUAGUCCUAGCCGUAAACGAUGGUCACUAGGUGUUGCGGGUAUCGACCCCUGCAGUGCCGGAGCUAACGCAUUAAGUGACCCGCCUGGGGAGU